rnacentral:lncRNA from 1 species
UUACCACCAUCUUCAUCUUCUUGGUUACAUUCCAAAUCCUCAUUUUCAUCUUGGUUACAAAUAAGUCCCUCAUCUACUGAAUCUUUUUGAACACGUAUCAGAUAAGGUGUGAAAUCCAAUAUAUCAGCUUCUUGAUCACAUAACAUAUAAUCAGUUGUCUCCUCUAAAGUAAUAUCCAUUAUUGCAUCCUCAGACACAGUGGCCCCCUCCAAACUAACAUCUUCGCAUAAAU